rnacentral:rRNA from 1 species
UACGUAGGGGGCUAGCGUUGCCCGGAUUCAUUGGGCGUAAAGGGUGCGUAGGCGGCGCGGUAAGUCGGGUGUGAAAUCUUGGAGCUUAACUCCGAAACUGCAUUCGAUACUGCCGUGCUUGAGGACUGGAGAGGAGACUGGAAUUUACGGUGUAGCGGUGAAAUGCGUAGAUAUCGUAAGGAAGACCAGUGGCGAAGGCGGGUCUCUGGACAGUUCCUGACGCUGAGGCACGAAGGUCAGGGGAGCAAACGGG